rnacentral:lncRNA from 1 species
AAGUGUGGCAGCCCAAUUGGCACCCUUCUAAGCCUUGCCUAUAAAUUAUGAGGCUGCCUUUGCAUUUUUGCUAGCUUCUUGUGCGGGGCGUAACACCCUCCCCCACUCAAUCUCGCGACGUCCUCGUCGCGUCUUGAACCUCAAAAUCUUUUAUCUUGUCUUUGAACUGCCAAAGAGUGUCUUCAUGCUCCCAGCUAGCUUCGGACUCGGGCAAGUUCUUCCACUUGACUAGGUACUCGCGAUAGGCCGGUACUCUAUGUCACUGUACUACUCGAGAGUCAAGUAUGCUGUCAACCUCCUUGUCAAAUUCAGUAAUAACAGCAGUUGGCGCUCUAGUACACUCGCCCCUACUUGGAUCCUCAUCAUCCGCAUGAUAAGGCUUCAACAUGCUAACAUGGAAGACAUCAUGAAUCUUCAACUUGGGCGGCAGUUCAACUCGAUAAGCGGCCUUCCCUACUCGUUUGAUGAUAGGGAAUGGACCCUCGUACCUCCUUGCUAACCCUUUGUGUAGUUUGCGCAUCGCCUUAAAUUGAUUAGGAAGGAGUUUGAUUAGCACCAUGUCUCCCUCGGCAUACUCUCUUGGGCGCCGCUUGAUGUCAGCCCAUUUCUUCAUCCGUCGAGCAGCCUUGUCGAGACAGGCACGAGUCUCAUCAGCUUCUUCAUGCCAUUCUCUUGCAAACUUGUGAGCGGCUGGAUUUGUGCCGGCAUAAGAAGCUGCGAUGGCAUUGGGAGUGAGGGGCUACUGUCAUAAUGAUCUCAAAGGGACUUUUGCCUGUGGAUUCACUCCUUUGGAGGUUAUACGAGAAUUGGGCGAUAUCAAGCAACUUAGCCCAAUCUCGCUGAUGGGCACUAACAUAAUGUCGACCUCAAAAUCUUUUAUCUUGUCUUUGAACUGCCAAAGAGUGUCUUCAUGCUCCCAGCUAGCUUCGGACUCGGGCAAGUU